AUUGAACGCUGGCGGCAUGCCUUACACAUGCAAGUCGAACGGCAGCACGGGAGCAAUCCUGGUGGCGAGUGGCGAACGGGUGAGUAAUAUAUCGGAACGUGCCCAGUCGUGGGGAUAACGUAGCGAAAGCUACGCUAAUACCGCAUACGAUCUAUGGAUGAAAGCGGGGGAUCGCAAGACCUCGCGCGAUUGGAGCGGCCGAUAUCAGAUUAGGUAGUUGGUGAGGUAAAGGCUCACCAAGCCGACGAUCUGUAGCUGGUCUGAGAGGACGACCAGCCACACUGGGACUGAGACACGGCCCAGACUCCUACGGGAGGCAGCAGUGGGGAAUUUUUGGACAAUGGGCGCAAGCCUGAUCCAGCAAUGCCGCGUGCAGGAUGAAGGCCUUCGGUGGUUAAC
rnacentral:rRNA from 1 species